GAGCAGGGGGUGCCCAGACUGAACCUGGGCCCUAGGCAGAGGCAGCUGGUCUGGAGGCCCAGCUGACCUCUCUCAGGACUCUGGCCAUACCUGAUUGGUGCUCAGGCCCUGAGGGUCCUCAGGGUCACCAGCUCUACCCUCUGAAAAGUAUCUUGAGUGUUGAAGGUGGUGACAGCCAGCCUGAACCAGGCUGUGCCCAGCAGGGAGAGGGCAUUGUCCAAGAGGUGGUCGCAGGUUCCUACUUCCAGGCCUGUGUGGACCUCAGAGCAAAGGGCUGGCUUUGGAAGUCAAGUGUUGUCCAUUUGUGGAUGAAGGAAUUGAAGCUCCAAAGCCAAGAUCCAGUUGUGUGCCCCAAGGAGCCGUCCUGAGUCCCCGGUCUGUCCCCUCUCUUCUGGGAAAGAAUCAACACACGAACCUGUGACUUCCGCCAGGUACUGGCCUGUUUGCUGAAGCUCCCGCUUAAUUAAAACUAAGUUCUAGACUGCACCGCUGAGCCUGUCUGAACCUAACUAUUGGAGAUCAGUUGAGACAUGCGCCUUGGCAUGUGUUUCCAAGAGCAAGGACGCUCACCUGUGUAGCAACAGGACAAUCACCCAAGCUGUCCAAGCUGCAGACAUACGAUCAGAUUUUACCAAUUGUCUCAAUGUCUUCCAGGUGAUGUUUUUCAAGGUCAGGCCCAGGCAUUGCCUGAAGUUGAGAGGUCACCUGUCUCCUUCGCUCUAGGGCAGCUCCCCAGACUGCGACCCGUGUUCACGACUUUGGCAUUUUAGAAAUGGCCAGGCUGGUGGUUUGUAGACUGUCAAUCUAGAUUAGGCCGAUGAUGUCCUCACGAUUAGCUGCACGGUGUGUAUCACUGGCAAAAAUCCUAUAGCUGUGACUCUUUGACGCCUGACAGAGCAUUUGGAUUUUAUCCUUAAUCUCCUGAGAGCUGACAGUUUUAUUAGUCUUAUAAAUUAUAUUCAUCUUUGUAAAGGCAGUCUAAUUGUUGGCUUUAUUAACACUUAAUAUUUGGUUUUGGGGCUGGGGCUCAGAGGUAGAGCACUUGCCUAGCACGUGUGAGGCACUGGGUUCGAUCCUCAG
rnacentral:lncRNA from 1 species